rnacentral:lncRNA from 7 species
UAUAACGUUAGUGGGUUUGCGGUAAAAGCGGCAGAGAGGAUAGGAUGACAAGCGGGGCAGAGGGGACUGAUGGAAAGCAGGUGUGGAGGAGGAAGAUAGGAGGAGGAGAAAGAGGAAAACAUGACUGACUAAUUAGACUUUGACAACCAAUUAGCAGAUUUUUAGCUUUGCUGAGAAUCAAGUUAGCGCCGGGAAAGUAGGAGGCAAGGAAACCAAACACGCAACGCGCUCCUCUCCUACCACUGCUUUAGGGCUGCCCCUAACACCGACCCCAUCCAGCGAGGCCAGGCCUUGCUCGGGAUGGAUGGCCACAUCCAUGCAGGUGGAAGUGGGGUGCAUGGCUCUGCCAGCAAAGUGGAGCUCACUGGGACUCCCACUGAGCCGCAAAGCAGAGGAGCUCUCAGCAGCCUUCUCGCAAGAGGACGCGAGGCGCUGCUUGGAACAGACGUCGUUUGUGUGCACCCGCCUGUGUUUUCCCCCCCAGCUAAAGAAAAAAAAAAUAAUAAUGGUCUCUGCAGCCAGGAAUAUCUCGCCCUGCCUUCAGAAUGAUUUCAGGUCUCCCGAGGACAGUUUACGGUCUCGUGCCCUGGUCCUCCCGCGCUGCCCUGACUAAUGACAGCUUUGUAAUCCAGUUGGGAAAUAAUCUCACAUCACUGCACUCGGAGCUCGUGAGCUGUAAAACUUCUGGAUUGAACUCCUUCUCCUGGUCACUCCAGCAAGCUGCAAGCAAAUGCAUGAGGGAUGUGGUCAUAAUUGUCAACAGAUUUGUAAAUUUGUGUCAUUAGUUAUGCGCAUAAUGGAUUUUAUUCUAAUGAGCUUGUUCAUAAGAAUGCCAGGAGGACUUGGCCCCUUUGGAGGAAAUAAACUACAAACUUUGCCCAUGCAUU